UACGUAGGGACCAAGCGUUGUUCGGAUUUACUGGGCGUAAAGGGCGCGUAGGCGGCGUGUUAAGUCAGCUGUGAAAUCUCCAAGCUUAACUUGGAACGGUCAGCUGAUACUGAUGUGCUAGAGUGCAGAAGGGGCAAUCGGAAUUCUUGGUGUAGCGGUGAAAUGCGUAGAGAUCAGGAGGAACACCCGUGGCGAAGGCGGCUCUCUGGGUCCACCCUGACGCUGAGGCGCGAAAGCGUGGGGAGCGAACGGG
rnacentral:rRNA from 1 species